rnacentral:rRNA from 1 species
UCGUCAGCUCGUGUCGUGAGAUGUUGGGUUAAGUCCCGCAACGAGCGCAACCCUUGCCUUUAGUUGCCAGCAUUAAGCUGGGCACUCUAGAGGGACUGCCAGGGAUAAUCUGGAGGAAGGUGGGGAUGACGUCAAAUCAUCAUGCCCCUUAUGCUUAGGGCUACACACGUGUUACAAUGGGUGGUACAGAGGGCAGCCAAGUCGUGAGGUGGAGCUAAUCCCUUAAAGCCAUUCUCAGUUCGGAUUGUAGGCUGAAACUCGCCUACAUGAAGCUGGAGUUACUAGUAAUCGCAGAUCAGAAUGCUGCGGUGAAUGCGUUCCCGGGUCUUGUACACACCGCCCGUCACACCACGGGAGUUGGGGGCGCCCGAAGCCGGUUUGCUAACCUUUUGGAAGCGUCCGUCGAAGGCAAAAUCAAUAACUGGGGUGAAGUCGUAACAAGGUAACCGUA